UCAUCCCUAGAGCUUCGAGCUCUCUAAAGGGUUGUUCUAGACUAGAACGUUGAUAGGCAGGGUGUGUAAGCGCUGUGAGGCGUUGAGCUAACCUGUACUAAUUGCCCGUGAGGCUUAACCAUACAACACCCAAG
rnacentral:rRNA from 1 species